rnacentral:rRNA from 1 species
ACGGGAUUUCCUUCGGGACCCGCUACAAGGUGCUGCAUGGUUGUCGUCAGCUCGUGCCGUGAGGUGUCGGGUUAAGUCCCAUAACGAGCGCAACCCCUAUCUUUAGUUGCCAGUCCGGCUUGUCGGAGGACUCUAAAGAAACUGCCCGCGCAAGCGGUGAGGAAGGCGGGGAUGACGUCAAAUCAGCACGGCCCUUAUGUCCGGGGCUACACACGUGCUACAAUGGCCGGUACAGUGGGCAGCUCAUGCGCGAGCAUUUGCUAAUCUCUAAAAUCGGUCUCAGUCCGGAUCGGAGUCUGCAACCCGACUCCGUGAAGCUGGAUUCGCUAGUAAUCGCACAUCAGCCAUGGUGCGGUGAAUACGUUCCCGGGCCUUGUACACACCGCCCGUCAAGCCAUGGAAGCCGGGGGUACCUGAAGUCCGUAACCGUCAAGGAGCGGCCCAGGGUAAAACCGGUGACUGGGGCUAAGUCGUAACAAGGUAACC